UGUCAUUUUCUUUCUGGUUCAACACACGGUCUGAGGAGGGCUUCUCUUUUGCAGCAGUGUCCCUUUAAGGCCACACCCUCUUGGACAGCACGUAUCCCUGCCAGGAAAUGGUGAGCUUACAAACAACGUUUCCUUGGGGAGAGCAUCUGAGGACAGUAGGUUGAGUUCAUCCAAGCAGAGAAACUGGGUACCAAACAGACAAGACGACAGCAGCUGCUCUUGUGAAUGUAAAAAAAAAAAAAAGAGAGGAAAAAAAGGAGGUGAACACAUUUGCAUGCCUUUGAGUCAAGCACUCCUGGUUGAAUACUUUGUUCACAGGAGGGGGAAGCAGUAGUGUGCUAACCAUAAUUCAACAGGACUUGGAGGAAUACUUCAGGCCUCUUGGAGCCACUGAAUCACUUUCAUUUGCUUCAUAGGGUGCUCUGCAGCUCGCAGCCUAAUAUGUCUGGUCUCCUUGGUGGAAUGGAGACGGCUGAUUUCCUACAGCUCCCUGGGUAUGGUGUGGUUGGCCAGGAGCGUGCUGCGAGGCCCUGACAGCAAGACAGUGCUGGACCAAAGCUGCAGGAAGCUGAGGAUUUAUGUUCUGCAGGUUUUGGGGCCAUGUUUCAGGAUGGCAGUAGGUGGAGAGGUGGCUGGCUGGAUAUACUUAUGGAGAUAACUGUUGAAUGAGUGGAGCUUACUGAGUUGGAGAUAGUUGGAGCUCCUGUAGAGGAUGGGAGCUGACGAGGCGAUGAUGUAUCAGAGGGUGGACAGGCAAGUCAGUGGAGCGGGGGCGGAGGACAGGAUUCUGAUAGCAGUUACCAGUACGGCUGACGGAGGAGCGGCAGAAAAAAGGAGAGGGAUCCAAGUAGAUGUUCUUCGUACAGACGCUAGGAACCAGGAAGAGCAUCACUGGAGCCGGAACUCUGCCGUCUAUGCAGAAAGACAGGGGAGGUUGGUAGGUCAGAGCUCUGAGGGAUCAAGGAUCGCAUAGAGAUGAGAGCCUGAUUACAACCCAUGUCAGCGAAGGAAGGAAGGAAAGGAAAGGAAACGCCAAAUAACCUGCAUACAGCCUUGAGGAUAUGAGGUUCCCUUAACAUGAAACAAUGUCUAAAUGUUAAUGAGCUGAUAUUUGUGAGUGACAAUAACUUCAAUCAGAUUCUGGAACUAGACUGGACUUCAACGCUUUGAUUGUUAUUGCUCUAGUCUUUUCCUUUCUUUAAUCUUGGAGGUAGGGAAACAUAAUUUUUUGAAAGCAGAUUUCUUAAAAGGAUUUCCAGGUUUUACAUCAUGAUCACAUGCUAAUACCAACUACUGUGAGCCAGAAAGCUGGACCUACAUCAAACUACGAGGAGUGGUGCUCAGACCAACAAAAGUUGCAGUCAGACACGUCUAUCUAUUUACGCACUAUUUAUAUAGUUUUAUUUCAGAGAAGCAGAAAACUUUUGUUUGGUUGUGCCAGGUGGACGUGAGUCCAGAGCCAUCAGCAUAGCUGCCAAGACGAGCACAAGCUAUGAGGAGAACACCAGGCAAAUUCUCUUUCAAACACUUUCCGUCACUGUAUCACAAAUGCCCUGCUUUCGUUAUGGAGUACUAGAUUCUAUGCAAAAACUUACGUCGUUUUAAUAUGCAUGAAUUGGUUUGUCAUUUGCCUUUUUUAAAUGGACUCUAAGUUCAGCACAAUCAACACAUGCAGUAUAACAUUGAAGGUUACACAGAUCUUGGUUCUUUGUUCUCUAAGUGAGGAAUUAGUCUUUAACAAACUUCUUGGUUAAAGGAAGUUUAAUGUCUUUGCGUAUUUCAUUUUUUUUAAUUAAAUUGGCUGAGGACAAACAAUUUUGCACUUUAGGUAUUGUGUCUUUGUAUUUUUUGAUUACCAUUAUACUCAAGUAUACAGUCUUGCAAAAAGCCCUGAAUCAGGACCACAAAAUGACUCAUAAAGGAGAAUUGAUUUAUUGUCCUUGUGCUUCUUACUGUUUAUAAAUUGGCUGUGAUUCAAUCAAAUUCUCAGUAUUUGGAUUGGUUAGCUUUGCCAUUUUUGGGAUUUUAUGUGAUAGACCAACUCAAAGUAGAGCAUAAUUGUGAAUUGGAAGAAAAAUGAGACGUGGCUUUGAACAUCUUUUUGAAUUUGGCACUUGUUG